rnacentral:lncRNA from 1 species
GGGAUUAUAUGAAUCCUUGUCACAGAGGUUCAACCGAUAAGAUCUUCGUAGAAUAUGUAGGAUCCAAUAUGGGCAUCCAGGUCCCGCUGUUGGAUAUUGACCGGGGAGUGUCUCAGGUCAUGUGUGCAUAGUUCUCGAACCCGCAGGGUCUGCACACUUAAGGUUCGGUGACGUUUUGGUUUAGUUGAGUUAUAGGUGUUGGUGACCGAAGGUUGCUCGGAGUCCCGGAUGAGAUCACGGACGUCACGAGGGUUUCCGGAAUGGUCCACGGAAACGGAGAUUGAUAUAUAGGAUUGUUUCAUUUGGCCUCCGGAAAGAUUUGGGGCAUUACCGACAGUGUAUCGGGAGUGACGAAUGGGUUCUGGGUUUUUACCGGGAGGGGGCCACCCACCCGGGAGUGAACCUAAUAGCCCAAGGGUGGCGCACCAGCCCUUAGUGGGCUGGUGAGGCC